CAUGCCUGCAGUUCGACUNNUAGAGGGGAUCCAGAUCUCCUACGGGAGCCAGCAGUGGGGAAUAUUGCGCAAUGGGGGAAACCCCUGACGCAGCAAUACCGCGUGAGUGAAGAAGGUUUUCGGAUCGUAAAGCUCUGUUAUUGGGGAAGAAAAAAAGACGGUACCCAAGAAGAAAGUCCCGGCUAACUACGUGCCAGCAG
rnacentral:rRNA from 1 species